GUCUACGGCCAUGCUACCCUGAACACACCCGAUACUGUCUGAUCUCUGAAGCUAAGCCGGGUCAGGCCUGGUUAGUACUUGGAGGGGAGACCACCUGAGAAGAUCAGGUGCUGUAGGCG
rnacentral:rRNA from 1 species